UACGAUAAUAAAACUCACCAA
rnacentral:piRNA from 1 species